rnacentral:rRNA from 1 species
CGCAUCUGUGCAUGCAGCAUAUCAAUAAGCGGAGGAAAAGAAACUAACAAGGAUUCCCCUAGUAACGGCGAGUGAAGCGGGAAGAGCUCAAAUUUGAAAUCUUAAAGGGUUUCCCUUUACGAAUUGUAGUUUAAAGAAGUGUUUUCUGUUGAGGUUUUGGUAAAAGUUCUUAGGAAUAGGACAUCAUAGAGGGUGAGAAUCCCGUAUUUGACCUUUACUUUCAACUUUGUGAUACACUUUCAAAGAGUCGGAUUGUUUGGGAAUGCAGUCCAAAAUGGGUGGUAAAUUUCAUCUAAAGCUAAAUAUUGGCGAGAGACCGAUAGCGAACAAGUACCGUGAGGGAAAGAUGAAAAGAACUUUGAAAAGAGAGUUAAACAGUACGUGAAAUUGUCAAAAGGGAAGCGUUUGACACCAGUGUUGUUUUUCUGAAAAUCAAUUAAAGAACUGUUUAUGCUAAGUUGUUUAGACUUUAUCAGCUAACUGUUUAGUUUUGAGCUUUUCUUUAAUGCACUUUUCAGUUAACAAGUCAACAUCAAUUUCUUUUGCUGUAAAAAAGCUUGAGGAAGGUGGCUUGAGAUUCGUCUUAAGUGUUUAUAGCCUCUUGCCUAUGCAGUCGGAGAGAUUGAGGUCUGCAGCGUAGAUCCUUCGGGGCUAAAUGCAUUUGUGCUAAGUUAUAGCAUUUUAUAGACAACUUGUUGACUAUGAUUUGUCUUGUAGCUUACUCGCUUAUGUUAUUUUACCUACGCUUAGGAUGUUGAAGAUGUAGCACAUCAU